rnacentral:rRNA from 1 species
UACGUAGGGAGCAAGCGUUGUUCGGAUUUACUGGGCGUAAAGGGCGCGUAGGCGGCGCGGUAAGUCACUUGUGAAAUCUCUGAGCUUAACUCAGAACGGCCAAGUGAUACUGCAGUGCUAGAGUGCAGAAGGGGCAAUCGGAAUUCCUGGUGUAGCGGUGAAAUGCGCAGAUAUCAGGAGGAACACCGGUGGCGAAGGCGGUUCUCUGGGCAUUACCUGACGCUGAGGAGCGAAAGUGUGGGGAGCGAACAGG